rnacentral:rRNA from 1 species
GAGUUUGAUCCUGGCUCAGAACGAACGCUGGCGGCGUGCCUAACACAUGCAAGUCGAGCGGGAUGAGGGGCUUGCUCCUCAUUUAGUGGCGCACGGGUGAGUAACGCGUAGAUAAUCUGCCUGAUGAUCUGGGAUAACACUUCGAAAGGGGUGCUAAUACCGGAUAAGCCCACGGGGUCUUUGGAUUYUGCGGGAAAAGGGGGGGACCUUCGGGCCUUCUGUCAUCAGAUGAGUCUGCGUACCAUUAGCUAGUUGGUAGGGUAAUGGCCUAUCAAGGCUACGAUGGUUAGCUGGUCUGAGAGGAUGAUCAGCCACACUGGAACUGAGACACGGUCCAGACUCCUWCGGGAGGCAGCAGUGGGGAAUUUUGGACAAUGGGCGCAAGCCUGAUCCAGCCAUGCCGCGUGAGUGAAGAAGGCCUUCGGGUUGUAAAGCUCUUUCGGCCGGAACGAAAUCGCGUACGCAAAUAACGUGCGUGGAUGACGGUACUGGAAGAAGAAGCACCGGCUAACUCCGUGCCAGCAGCCGCGGUAAUAC